rnacentral:rRNA from 1 species
ACAAUGCACGAAAGCGUGAUGGGGUUAUCCCGAGUGCCGUCCGAUGAGGAUGGCUUUUCAUCGGUGUAAGGAUCCGAUGGAAUAAAGGGGGGGCAAGACUGGUGUCAGCCGCCGCGGUAAUACCAGCCCCCUGAGUGGUAAGGACGAUUAUUUGGCCUAAAGCGUCCGUAGCCGGCUUAACAAGUCUUUUGUUAAAUCCAACGAUUCAAUCGUUGGGCCGCAAAAGAUACUGUUAUGCUAGAGGACGGGAGAGGUCGACGGUAGUCCAGGGGUAGGGGUGAAAUCCUAUAAUCCUUGGAGGACCACCAGUGGCGAAGGCGGUCGACUAGAACGUGCCUGACGGUGAGGGACGAAAGCUGGGGGAGCGAACCGGAUUAGAUACCCGGGUAGUCCCAGCUGUAAACGAUGCGGGCUAGGUGUUGGGGUAGCCACGAGCUGCCCCAGUGCCGCAGAGAAGUUAUUAAGCCCGCCGCCUGGGGAGUAUGGCCGCAAGGCUGAAACUUAA